rnacentral:antisense_RNA from 1 species
UUCCAUGGCAGGCGGUGCGUGGGGAUCCCUGAUCCGCCGGAUAUUGAGAAACUUCGCCCGGUACGCCAACCCGCAUCGCCUGCCACCGCG